UCCGAGUUGGGCGAGUGGGAGGAACAGGGAGCUGGGCGACCGAGCGCCAAUGGGGAUGGGGCAUGUGCGUCCCUGCGACCAGAGGGAGUGCCGCGGCUACAGGGGCGCGGUUUGGCCAGGGAGGAGCAGCCGACGCUGGAGCUGGAAGAGGCUUCGGCCAUGGGGAAAACAAGGGGCCGGGGAGGAACUCGGCUGGGAGGAGCUCGACGCAAUGGAGCACGGAGGAAGGAGAGGGGUGCGCACCAUGGAUGCGCAGGAGCGAGCUCCGGCAGCGCGCGUGGGGCUGGAACACCGAGCUGGCAGCCGGCGCGCAGAGAGAGGCGACCGAGGAAGAUGGAGAAGCUCGGUGGAGCGCCAUCGGGGCGAGCCGAGGGAGAAAGGAAGCCGCGGCAGAGAGCUCGCCGCGCAGAGAAGACUCCACUGGAGAACGAGCAGGGAGAACAAAGGAGCUGGGCGAGAAAUUUCACGCGCGGGCGCCAGGGAAUAUGAUAGGGCCGAGCAGGGCGCCGAGAGGAGGGAGAUGAGGGAGGAUCGAGCUCAUCGGCUGGGGAUAGAAGAGCGACUAGGAAGAUAAGACUGCUGGGAUUUUUUUUGCAGGUGACCGACGAAGCUUACGCGGCCACGGCAAGAACGAACUGGAGGCUGAAUGCCGCAUGGAGAUAAGAAUGGAAGCUGUUAAGCGGUAAGAAAAUCAAAGGAAGAGACAAACGUGCCUUGAGAAAAAUCCCGGCAACGGAUGAAGAUAGGAGUGGCUGAAAGGAUAUUUUUCUAGAUGUUUUUUUAUUUUUCUUUUCUUCACUCUUUUUUUAAAGAGAAUUGCAAAUAUUUUGGAUCAUGAUUUUUAG
rnacentral:misc_RNA from 1 species